rnacentral:tRNA from 1 species
GGACUGUAGCUCAGUGGCAGAGCACUUGCCUAGCAUGUGUGAGGCACUGGGUUCAAUCCUUAGCACCA